CCUACGGGAGGCAGCAGUGGGGAAUUUUGGACAAUGGGCGCAAGCCUGAUCCAGCCAUGCCGCGUGUGGGAAGAAGGCCUUCGGGUUGUAAACCACUUUUGUCAGGGAAGAAACGGCCUUUACUAAUAUUAGGGGCUAAUGACGGUACCUGAAGAAUAAGCACCGGCUAACUACGUGCCAGCAGCCGCGGUAAUACGUAGGGUGCAAGCGUUAAUCGGAAUUACUGGGCGUAAAGCGUGCGCAGGCGGCUUUGCAAGACAGAUGUGAAAUCCCCGGGCUCAACCUGGGAACUGCAUUUGUGACUGCAUGGCUAGAGUACGGUAGAGGGGGAUGGAAUUCCGCGUGUAGCAGUGAAAUGCGUAGAUAUGCGGAGGAACACCGAUGGCGAAGGCAGUCCCCUGGACCUGUACUGACGCUCAUGCACGAAAGCGUGGGGAGCAAACAGGAUUAGAUACCCUGGUAGUCCACGCCCUAAACGAUGUCAACUGGUUGUUGGACGGCUUGCUGUUCAGUAACGAAGCUAACGCGUGAAGUUGACCGCCUGGGGAGUCGGCGCAAGGUUGAAACUCAAAGGAAUUGACGG
rnacentral:rRNA from 1 species